GGGAUAAUGGUUCACCGCUUACAUUUUUCUUUGAAGAAUACUUCGAAGAAAAUUCGAUGUAGAAUUCUUCGAUACCUGGUAAUGCAUAAAAGUAAGCUAUGCGGAACUUCGCUUACAUUUUUCUUGAAGAAUACUUCGAAGAAAAUUCUAUGUAGAAUUCUUCGAUACCAGGUAAUGCAUAAAAGUAAGCUAUACGGCUAAAUUCUACUGUGUUCAUAUUUACAAAUCAAGUAAGUACAUGAAAAACGACAAAUACAAAUUGAUGGAAUAAAAUUUAUAAGUAAUUUUUUUCAUUAUUUCGUCAAAUCAUCAAGCAAAAAGUUGGUCGUGAUCAGGUGAGCUACUAUUUUAAUUAAAAAUUUUGUUUAUUUUUUUGUUUUUUCGUAUUUUUAACAUUGAAGGACAUAGCUUCAAAUUUAUAAACAUACUCUUUCAACUUUUUUUGUAGAAUGUGUGAAAGUUGAAGGUUUCACCGAGUCGGAGUAUAUACACCAAAUUCAAAAAAGUAUCAAACUCGCCAAAGGCCGUUUCUUCAAGUCUCGUUGCUUGGAUAAAAAACGAAAAGAGACUCAGCUACAAAAUUAAAAGCAGCAUACCAAUUCGAACAAAAAGGAACGAGAAAGGAUCUCGCGCACCUUUUUUCGUUACGACGUCGUUCGACCAACAUCUCCGCUUUCGCAGCAUCCCGGUUCUUUCCGCUAGUUACCCGCCUGUAUAUAUAUUUAACGUUUUUUAAAACCUGCUGUUUUCAACCUUUGAUCAUUUUAUAUAUACUAUAUAUAAUAUGUAUUUAACGUUUUUAAACUAUUUCAAUUUGUAAUAAUUCAGUUCAGUUAAACACAUUUUGUUAUAACAAUUUUUAAGUGCAUUUCGCAAAAAACAAAACCUUUAUAACGAUUGUAUCGAAUUUAACUGUGGCAUGGUGGAAUUCUUUGUUAACUAUGGCAUCAAAGAAUUCUUCGUUAACUGUGGCAUCGAAGAAUUCUCCGUUAACUGUGGCAUAGAAGAAUUCUUCGUUAACUAUGGCAUCGAAGAAUUCUUUGUUAACUAUGGCAUCGGAGAAUUCUUUGUUUACUAUGGCAUCGAAGAAUUCUUCGUUAACUAUGGCAUCGAAGAAUUCAUCGUUAACUGUGGCAUCGAAGAAUUCUUCGUUUACUUUGGCAUCGAAGAAUUCUUCGUUAACUAUGGCAUAGAAGAAUUCUUCGUUAAC